UGGGGAAUCUUCCGCAAUGGACGAAAGUCUGACGGAGCAACGCCGCGUGAGUGAAGACGGCCUUCGGGUUGUAAAGCUCUGUGAUCCGGGACGAAAGAGCCUGAGGUAAAUAGCCUAAGGACGCGACGGUACCGGAAAAGCAAGCCACGGCUAAAUACGUGCCAGUAGCCGCGGUAAUACGUAGGUGGCAAGCGUUGUCCGGAAUUAUUGGGCGUAAAGCGCGCGCAGGCGGCUUACUAUGUCCAUCUUAAAAGUGUGGGGAUUAACCCCGUGAUGGGAUGGAAACUGGAAAGCAGGAGUGUCGAGGAGGAAGGUGGAAUUCCUAGUGUAGCGGUGAAGUGCGUAGAGAUUAGGAAGAACACCGGUGGCGAAGGAGACUUUCUGGACGAAAACUGACGCUGAGGCGCGAAAGCGUGGGGAGCAAACAGG
rnacentral:rRNA from 1 species